CCGCCAUUUAUAAAACAUCACAAAAACAUCACAUUCCACAUUUGAAACAUUACCCAAUUCAUUAUUUCAUAGGAAUCGAUAGAAAAACUAUGUUCAAGCACUAGUAAUUAAAUUUACUAACAUUCGCGAUGCCAAAUUUCGUCGGUCACACGAGUGCGAGAGAGACAGAGCGUCCACGCGUUAGAAAGAGACAGCUAUAAGGGCAAAGCUACGCCCAAUCAAUGCAUACUGCCUUCCUGCAGAGCCUCAGUGUGUCCGCGGCGCUCGAGGAGGUGCGUCAACGUAAACUUAAAAAAAAAAUACAAAAAAUAUAUAAAAAAAAUCAAUUGCGCAAAAAAACUCAUCGCGGUUAACGGGUUAAUAUUAAUUUGCAAAUACGUGGUAAUGUUAGUGUGGUCGUGAAUAUAUUUAGAUUUAAACAAAGCGUAUGCAUAAAAUUUGUUUAGUGGUAUUCAAUCAUCAAAGGGAUUUAGAUACAUGUGGUGUUUACGCCGUUUUUGAAAUAAACGCGUCGCAUGCACUGCGUCCUUUGUUCCGGAGCGACGCAAUUCGAAAACGAAAUAAUUGCUCCGGUGUGAAGGGAAAUAAAGAAUCAGGACCGUCAACAUCAAAAUAAAAGGGCACAAUACUAAAACAUAAAAAGUGAGAAAAGGCCACACA